rnacentral:lncRNA from 12 species
CUUGCCCAGUCCCUGCCCCAGCCCCGCCUCCUGCCCACCGGGACGCUGCCCUCCCUCCGCAGAGCCACUCUCAAGGACGGACGGGAGGUGUGUCUCAACCCCGAGCCCCGCUGGUCAAGAGAAUGAUCCAGAAGAUGCUGAGCAAGGCCUCGCAACCUGAGCUAGAGAGAAUGCAGCAGCCUACGGCCUAACCGCAGCAGCCUGAGUGCAACGGAAGCAAGAGAAGAGAGACAAAAACCUCCUGAGACCACCUGGACUGUUUAAU